UUUCUUUUCCAACAGAGUCUGGGAUACAAAACAAUAAUGAUAAUGUCAGAAUAGUUUUUAUUAUGGGAUAAAAAUUAUAUUGUUUAUUAAAAUUGAUGUUUGUGUGUCCGAUCCUCAUGACCAGGACAUCUGACAGCUGGAGACAUGAUGUGUCCACAUAUUUAUGUCCAUAUAGUUUAGAAACAUCAG